CUACAAGGGUUUCUAAUCCUGUUUGCUCCCCACGCUUUCGCGCCUCAGCGUCAGUUGUCGUCCAGCAAGCCGCCUUCGCCACUGGUGUUCCUCCUAAUAUCUACGCAUUUCACCGCUACACUAGGAAUUCCGCUUGCCUCUCCGAUACUCAAGGGCUACAGUUUCAAAUGCAGUUCCGGGGUUGAGCCCCGGGAUUUCACAUCUGACUUGCAGCUCCGCCUACACGCCCUUUACACCCAGUAAAUCCGGACAACGCUUGCAACCUACGUAUUACCGCGGCUGCUGGCAC
rnacentral:rRNA from 1 species